GUUAGAGUGAUCUGUGUUGUUGUCAUUAGUCGAUAGUUGAGAAUUCAUUGGGUAUUAUGGCUACCAGUUUUAAUGUAGAUGGUGAAUUACUAAAUUUGAUGAAUUUGUAUGGAAAAUUACAGUGCUAUGGCGGUCCAUGAAAUUGUAUGUUUAAAAUGUUUCAAUAUUUGCAUAUAUUUUUAAUUUACGUAACGAAGACUCGAAAGCUGUUGUGCGCAACAUUUUCAGCAGAUUUCAACGGUUGAUGUUUAUGUGAGCUCUGAAAUAUUACAUUUUGAAAUGGAAGGAUAUUCAGUAUUAACAACGGAGAAAGGAAAGUUCUCAAAUAGUCAUACCUCAUUGUGCAACAAAAAUUGUAAAUUUGUAUGGUCACAUGAUGGAGGUGACAAAGGCUGACUUCUUCUUCUGACAUGUUGGAAGAAAGGUAAGUUGACAGCUACUGUUAGCAAUUGUUUUAAAAACAUUGUUUUUAUGUAAUUGUUACGUGCCUUGCUGUUGUUUUUUUUAUCUACCCUUAAACAUAUUUUGUAGUGAUGAUGGUAUAUUUAUGGUCAUUAAGGAAGAUACUUUAUUUCUUGGCAGAAACGUAUAAAAUGUCCUGGACACAUGGAAUGACUGAGAUCUUGAUAGAGGAAUAUCAAAAUAUGGUUGCUGAUUUCAGAAAUCCUCAUAAAAAGCAGAAAGCAUUACAAAGACUGUUGAAUGGUGUUCUCAUAUUUGAUUAAUGAAAGUAGUCUUCAGGUUGCAAAUCAUAUGUUCAGCUGUGUCCUUUGAGGCUUGAUGAUAGACUGGCAUAGGUAUGUGGGUGACUGUUUGCAGUAAAAAGCUGUGGACCAGUAUGGAGGUCCAUUAUUGCUUAUGACCUCUUUGGGUAUACCUCAGCAAGUGAAUACAGAUUUCAAGGUUCUGCAGACAGCUUCUAUAGUGAUUUGCAGCAUGAUUCGAACUUCAGGCCACUUCAAAUGCCUAUUCAUGACAGCAAGGUAGGUAUGACCAGCUUUCUCUGUAAGGUGUAAUGUCUCAUCCAAAUAAGGCCACUAUGCAGGCGACUUUUUAAAAUAUUUCUGUUUUGCUGCAAGGUUUGUAAUGACAAAUGUGCAAUAGCCUGAAAAGUGCAGUAUUUGUGUUAAAGCACAAGUAUCCAUAUAUGUAUCCAGAACAAUAUUGCACUAUAAAAUAGUUACCUUUGCAUAAUAAAAAUUUAUUCACAUAUCUAUCCUCCAAAUAUUUUUUCAUUCUUUCUUUUAUACACCUGUUAUUCUAGGUCAUUAAUCUUUGCAGUACCAAGAUUGAUUAGGUAAGUGGUAAAAAAUGUAGCGUAAUGUACCAUCAUUGAUUCCGUCUUCCAUUUCCAACUUUCCUAUUUCAGCUUGCUGCUCUUAUCUACCGCCAGGCAGCAGAGUUGAAAGUCUAUGUUAAAAGUAGUAGGAUGUAUGAAUGUUUCACUUUUAAAGUAUUUAAAUCUAUACUCCUCAGUACAUAGGAUUUUUGGAAAAUGGCCCUGCAAGGUUUAAUGUUUGUGCAAAUUAACAAAAUGAAUGUUUUAUACCAGAGUAUUUGAUAUACUAUAUCUUUGGAAAAUCUAAAUUCUACAUAAAAAACAAAAUAUUGUAAAUUUAUACAACUGCUCCCUUUCCUGGACUUAAAUUUAUUUAAUGUAGUACAUGUUUUGGAUUACAUCUUUCCAGAAUAUAAGCCAUGUAAAUACAACAUAAUACAAUAUACUUAUAAUACAAAUGUACAAAUUGCCAAAGAGUGUAGCGAUGCAAAUUAGAAAAAAAAAUUCAAGCUCCAGCAAAUAUAGUGUAAGGAUCUUCUAGUCAAAUGCAUGAAGAGUAGAUAUAUUACGUGAUGAAGUUCAUUUUUGGAAGUAAUUGUAAGAAACAGUGUAAUUUGCCAGAAGGAUUAAAUCUUAAUUAGAAUAUAUUUAAGUCAUAAAUAUAACACUGUUGACAUAUUCAAAUUGUUAUUUUGAAGACAACUAAAAUAGAGGCUCAGAAUUAAUCAGACAUUGCCAUGUUUCAUAAUUGUACUAUUUUAUAUAACGUGUGAUAUGUAUCUUAAUUUCCUGUUAAUUCACACUACUAAAUAUGUUGAAUUAAUUACAUUACUGAUUUGUACAAUAGAUAUAUCUUUUCAUGCUGGUACAUAUGCAUUCAACUUAAUCUAUGCGUAUGAAAAUUUAACUUAAUUUUCAUGCGCAGAAAUAUGUUCCAUGGAGGUCCUUUAAGUGGUAACACAGUGGUAGCCAACAAGUAUGAAGAUUAUCAAAGUUGUAUGAUUAUCCUUUUUUAUCUCCAAAUUAUUUUAGUCUCCAUUCUUUUCAGUUCCUUUAUACUAGAAGUGACUCUCAUUAUACAUAGUGGUUGUGUUCCUGCGAAUCACUGUGUACAUCAAAGAGACAUUAAAUUGGAAAUGUGUAAAUGACUGGAUUUGUAGAGUGGUACACCAUAAGAUCCCUUAAUUUGUAGUCCCUGGAGUCAAAAUGCUGGGGGGAGACAGUGAAACUGCAUGUAGCUUCUACCAUGGCCACAGAUAGGACAUUAAUGCUCUGCAUGUAUUGAAAUAAAAUCACAGGUAUGUAAAAAUAUGGAAAUUGGAACAUGCAUAAUGAGAAUCACCUAUACAUAAUGUAUUACUGUCAGGCAGUAUAUUUGUUAUUACAGAUAUUUCCUCCCCAGAUCUAUGUUGGUAUUCAUAUUAAACAAGAUUUCUUAUAUCUUUCAUAUUUCAAAAUUAAAUGAGAGUUCUUAUUUUUUUAUAUUUUUAACAUUUAUUUUGUGAUGUGAGUUUAUUAUGUGCAGCAUGUACAAUUUAUAUGGUCAUAUGUACUACAGAGCUAAGACUAAUUGAUGAGCAAUGUAAUAUAUUCUUCAUGUACAUAAAGAUAUAUGAUCCAUAA